AUCUGACUUUGAUCCCGGCAUGAUUCUGGCUCCAGACCACAACUGCCUCAACCACUACCACUGAACAAAGCACUACAAAGCUGAGCACAACUACGGAGCAUGGCACCAAGACUCCGGUCGCUAGCACUGAACACAGCACCACGACCACGGAGCGUCACUACAGCAGCACCAUUUCGAAUGAAGUGGAGCCCGUUUCAACAGGUGUGUCCACCUCUACAAUACUGUGCGCCGUCCUCAUUCCCUUGGCAGUCAUAGUACUGGCAGGGCUCCUCUUCUUCGGCUACAAGAAGUUCAAGCGAGCAGAGGGGCCAGGCCUUCUGAGCACCAGCGACAGCGCCUAGACUACUUCCCGAAAGCUGCACACAAAAUGCGUCUCUCCUGUGUCACUUAUAGUUAGGAGUUUCCUUCAGAACUGAUUCACCGCUCAUUGGAAUGACUGACAAUGCUGCAUGCGACGCCUGCGGCAGGGAAAAAGAGCAGCGUGCUUAAUUAUUGCGCCAAUCUCUCGCAUUGA
rnacentral:lncRNA from 1 species